AAGGAUCAUUAACAAAUCCCUGGCCGUCUCUCUUCCUGGGGGACGCGCUAUCUGUUCCGGCAUUGAGCGCUGUGGCGCGAGGUGCCGUGUUCAAGGUGCUCUGCACAAGUAUGUAAGUCGGACUGAAACAGCAUGGUGGGAACUCAACAAACAACUUUUAACAAUGGAUCUCUAGGCUCUU
rnacentral:misc_RNA from 1 species